UUAAAUUGAAGAGUUUGAUCAUGGCUCAGAUUGAACGCUGGCGGCAGGCCUAACACAUGCAAGUCGAACGGUAACAGGAAGCAGCUUGCUGCUUCGCUGACGAGUGGCGGACGGGUGAGUAAUGUCUGGGAAACUGCCUGAUGGAGGGGGAUAACUACUGGAAACGGUGGCUAAUACCGCAUAACGUCGCAAGACCAAAGAGGGGGACCUUCGGG
rnacentral:rRNA from 1 species